UACAGAGGGGGCAAGCGUUGUUCGGAAUUACUGGGCGUAAAGCGCGCGCAGGCGGUUCUUCAAGUCAGAGGUGAAAGCCCAGAGCUCAACUCUGGAAUGGCCUUUGAGACUAGAGAACUAGGGUACGGGAGAGGUGUGUGGAACUCCGAGUGUAGAGGUGAAAUUCGUAGAUAUUCGGAAGAACACCAGUGGCGAAGGCGACACACUGGCCCAUUACUGACGCUGAGGCUCGAAAGCGUGGGGAGCAAACAGG
rnacentral:rRNA from 1 species